rnacentral:rRNA from 1 species
UACGGGGGGGGCAAGCGUUGUUCGGAAUUACUGGGCGUAAAGGGCUCGUAGGCGGCCAACUAAGUCGGACGUGAAAUCCCUCGGCUUAACCGGGGAACUGCGUCCGAUACUGGAUGGCUUGAGUUCGGGAGAGGGAUGCGGAAUUCCAGGUGUAGCGGUGAAAUGCGUAGAUAUCUGGAGGAACACCGGUGGCGAGGGCGGCAUCCUGGACCGACACUGACGCUGAGGAGCGAAAGCCAGGGGAGCAAACGGG